UACGGGGGGGAGCAAGCGUUGUUCGGAUUUACUGGGCGUAAAGGGCGCGUAGGCGGUCGUGACAAGUCACUUGUGAAAUCUCCGGGCUUAACUCGGAACGGUCAAGUGAUACUGUCGGACUAGAGUACAGAAGGGGCAACUGGAAUUCUCGGUGUAGCGGUGAAAUGCGUAGAUAUCUGGAGGAACACCGGUGGCGAAGGCGGGUCUCUGGGCCGUAACUGACGCUGAGGAGCGAAAGCAUGGGGAGCGAACGGG
rnacentral:rRNA from 1 species